AUUGAACGCUGGCGGCAUGCUUUACACAUGCAAGUCGAACGGUAACAGGCCGCAAGGUGCUGACGAGUGGCGAACGGGUGAGUAAUGCAUCGGAACGUGCCCAGUCGUGGGGGAUAACGCAGCGAAAGCUGUGCUAAUACCGCAUACGAUCUAUGGAUGAAAGCGGGGGACCGUAAGGCCUCGCGCGAUUGGAGCGGCCGAUGUCAGAUUAGGUAGUUGGUGGGGUAAAGGCUCACCAAGCCAACGAUCUGUAGCUGGUCUGAGAGGACGACCAGCCACACUGGGACUGAGACACGGCCCAGACUCCUACGGGAGGCAGCAGUGGGGAAUUUUGGACAAUGGGCGCAAGCCUGAUCCAGCAAUGCCGCGUGCAGGAAGAAGGCCUUCGGGUUGUAAACUGCUUUUGUACGGAACGAAAAGGUUUGGGUUAAUACCCUGGGCCGAUGACGGUACCGUAAGAAUAAGCACCGGCUAACUACGUGCCAGCAGCCGCAGUAACAC
rnacentral:rRNA from 1 species